GGUAAAAUGGCUGAGUUUAGGCAAUAAAUUGUAAAUUUAUGAACGAAAUAAUUAAUUUCUUUUAUCA
rnacentral:tRNA from 1 species